rnacentral:rRNA from 1 species
UACAGAGGGGGCAAGCGUUAUUCGGAAUUAUUGGGCGUAAAGGGCGCGUAGGCGGCUUUGCAAGUGACGGGUGAAAUCCCUCGGCUUAACCGAGGAACUGCCUGUCAGACUGCAUGGCUUGAGACCGGGAGAGGUGAGUGGAAUUCCCAGGGUAGCGGUGAAAUGCGUAGAUAUUGGGAGGAACACCAGUGGCGAAGGCGGCUCACUGGACCGGUACUGACGCUGAGGCGCGAAAGCGUGGGGAGCAAACAGG